UACGUAGGUGGCAAGCGUUGUCCGGAAUCACUGGGCGUAAAGCGCGCGCAGGCGGCGAUCUACGUCUGGGGUGAAAGCCCGGGGCUCAACCCCGGGUCGGCCGUGCGAACUGCUGGGCUGGAGCACUGUAGAGGCAGGUGGAAUUCCGGGUGUAGCGGUGGAAUGCGUAGAGAUCCGGAAGAACACCGGUGGCGAAGGCGGCCUGCUGGGCAGUAGCUGACGCUGAGGAGCGAAAGCGUGGGGAGCGAACAGG
rnacentral:rRNA from 1 species